GUGUCAGCAGCCGCGGUAAUACAGAGGUCCCAAGCGUUGUUCGGAUUCACUGGGCGUAAAGGGUGCGUAGGUGGUGAAGUAAGUCGGAUGUGAAAUCUCGGAGCUUAACUCCGAAACUGCAUUGGAAACUACUUUGCUCGAGGGUUGGAGGGGGGACUGGAAUUCUCGGUGUAGCAGUGAAAUGCGUAGAUAUCAAGCGGAACACCAGUGGCGAAGGCGAGUCCCUGGACAACUCCUGACACUGAGGCACGAAAGCUAGGGGAGCGAAUGGGAUUAGAUACCCUGGUAGUCC
rnacentral:rRNA from 1 species